GGGGGAGGAGGCUGGAGCAGAAAGAGCUCAAAAGGUGAUGUUCCCCAGCCUCCUGCCAGCCACCCUCCAUUGGCUGGGAAGGCGCUCAUACUCCCUCACUGCUGGUGGACGCAUCCUGAGUCACCCUGCCCCAGAGGUGUGCUGGAGGUGGGCGGCAACUCCAGGGUAGGGGAAACACUGGUGGGAAGACAAGGCAGAGGGUGUCUGGGUAGCAUCGAGGCAGGCGGGCAGGGACGAGCCCUUCUAUUGGGUAUACUCUACAGAGGACAGGCUGGAACUGUUUCUAGAGCCCUCAACCUGCUGACUGCCCCUAGGGGCAGAGGCAUGGAGUCUCAGCUGGACAAGGAGUUCCUAAUGGAGGGAAGCCAUGUGCCCUCCCACCCUAGAGAACAGCUACCAAGAUGGAGGCUGUUUUAGAUCUGCACUGAACUUCAGAACUACAAGGCCAAGGCCCGAGGGGAUUUUGCUGAAAAAAAGCGUCACUCUGCCCAGGACCAGACAGAGCAAGGGACUCAAGUCCUCUCCUUCCCAGCAGAUACCAGGCCCCUUUCUGCUUAAGGGACCUUCCACAGUCUCAGACCCUAAUUGUACUUGAGUCUCUCCACAGGAGUUCCCUGCUGGGAGGAUUCAGGCCGCGUGCGUGCGCACACACUUCCACCCCUCUCCAAGGACUCCAACAGCUCUAAGCAGAGCUUCUGGGGUACAGGGUACAGGGCAGGGAGUCCAGCACCCUAAUUCUACAAGGACUCUGUCCUGGUUUAUCCACUGACAAUGACAAGACUGUGGAGGGGGCCUUCCUGUUGCAGGGACUGCGUUCCCACAGUCCUUUGGGGCUGUGCUGAGAAAGGGAAGUAGGGCAAGAACUAUCCUGGAAUCAGGAAAGGGGCCUAGGACGGACAGACCCUGGGUAGUAGGCACAGCCCCAGGAGAGGUGGGGAGGUGGCUUGUGGCAGUCUGCAGCACCUCCUCACCAUCUCUGCGGCCUACUGCCUCAAUCCCUUUACUGAGGCCAACAGUGAGGAGGACAUGAGGGGACUAAUUUAGGAGUAUUUUUAAAACUGUGGCCCUGGUGGAUGAGUUUAGCAGUUGUCAGCCAUCUGGAAUAAGGAAUUACAGUCACCCCCCCCCUCCCCUAAUCCUAUAUUCCCUAAACCCUAAAGCUGGUUAGUAUGACGAUGAGGCAGCAGGUGGGUGGGGGGUGGGAGUGUCUGUUCCAAAAAGCUGCAAGGCCUAGAAAGGAGCCCCUGCCCCCACCCCGGCCUAGGAGUACCUUCCCUCCCCCUCGGAGGGUGCUUGGGCCUAGGGUGUGGGCUGAGGAGCCCAGGGUGCUUGGAGCCCACUCAGCUCCCCCACUGCUCACGCCUGCUCACUCCCCAGGCCUCGCUGGCUUGCGCAGGGGCCGUCAGGUAAAUUAGAUCUGAAAGCUGACAAUUUCUGACCAUAUUUCCUUGAUUAUUUCAAACAAAUGCACAGCAGCCGCUGUAAGGAGAUUAAAGUGACAUAAACGUCCCGAGUGGGAGGGGGGAGGGCAGAGGAUUCAGGUCACCCCCAUCCGUCCCCCGCCUGACAGACGCUAUAUCGCUAUCCAAUCCAAUAAAAAAUCCCCCCCUUUUGCUUUAAUUAAUUUUACAGCUAGCUUGCUUAAUUACUUUCAAUCAAAAUCCUCCUGCCAUCGCAAAAUUGGAGAUGGUUGAGCUCCAUUAGCCUAAAUUCUUCAUUUCCAUAUAGAAAAGAGGCUGUCUACAGAGCCAGCCUGGGCCCCUAGCAGGACAGACACCCGUCUGCCCACCCGCUGCCAGACAGCCCACUCUGGCUUCCAUUCUCUGGCUAUAUCUGCACCCCCCCAUCUUUUCUAUCAUGACAUCGUAGACUGAGGGUCCUUGCUGUCCCCCAAUCUUCCCCAGACUUCAUGCAGAGGCAUCAGGGCUGGGCUGAACUGAAAGGCCAGGCUGACAUGGAGGUCUGCUUCGAUCGAUCGAAAGGAAUGGUCUAUCCCGGGGUCCUUCCCUUUACCAGCUGCCUCUCAACAGAGCUUCAGGCCAUGGCUACUCAAACUCAUAAUCUGAGCCCUCUGCCCUCCAAGGAGCUCUUGGCAGGGCAGAAUACUCCAGAGUCUUGGAGUUUAGCCUGUCUGCAUAGAUCCUGGAACCAACAUCAUCCAGGGUUCUCCCCACCAACUCCUGGCUAGGGCUGUUGCCCACUGUCAGAGCGACUGGAGGACCAGCUGUCUCAGUGGCAUAAGGCAACACACAGCCCCCACAGACUAGCGGUCUCUUACUGCCCCCCUCCCAGCCAUGGUUCCCAGUUUGCAGCAGCUGCUCCUCCUCCCCCAGCCUGGUUGGUGGGUGGUGGGUCUGGGCUCUGUCCACAUCCUGUGCUCUCUCUGCUGGCUCCAUUUUCCUCCCUGCCACCUGCCUUAUCCUCAUAGCCCCAACCCCAGCUCCAGAAACUCCACUUCAGGUUUUCUAUGCUACAGUCCUGAGUGUCACCACAGGGUCCAGCCCAACCUGGGAUCCAGCUGAUUAAGGAUCUGCAACAGGAUGUGGGGAUUAUAAUAAAACCUGGCUCUGGACCUUCGGGGGCAGUAGGCCAAGUCUGGGCUCCAGGUCUUUUCUCCCCUCUUUUCUCCACCAUGACCCCAGCCAAGGUGUCAAGUGACAGUUCAGAGGGUCCACACAGUUCCAGCUAGACUCUGGGAAGUGAGCAAAAUGGCCUGACAUUAAGACGGACCUGGACCAAGCUUGUCAGAAAGGCCAGGCGGAGUGGGGAAAAGGUGUAAGUAAGGUCGGAAGUCUGCCUUCCCCCUAGCUCUUCUUGGGAUGGGAAACCAACCUGAUCUCCUUUAGGGAACCAAUGUGUUGGUAGGGAGUGUCAGCAUGGCUCCUGGGCAGAGGCAAACCAGUAAGGAAAAAGUGCCCUGUGGGUUGUGAGAGACCCUUCCAGGCAACAGGCCCUAGAGCUCCCCCUUGCCUAUUGAUGUGGCUGUGGCUAAUGCCAGGGUGCGAGGAUGAGUGGCUGAACUUGGAGCCUGCAUUUUGGGAUCCCCCAGUCUGCUCCCCUCUGCUCCUGCUCUAAUCCAUACAGGUUCACACAACCCUCCCGGUUUGUGGAGCUUCUCAGACGCAUCUUGAAUCCCUACUGGCGCUGCUCACUCUGGCCCUCAGGAUCCUAGAGGAAAGUCUGAGGUCUCCAGAAAGCCUACAGGCUAACAAGGACGCACUGAGCGCUUCCCAACCGCCAAGAGAGCGAAGGAGCAGCAAGCCUGAGUUCAGGGGGCUCCUUGCUAAGUGAAGUGGCGUCAGGUGGGCCUACACAGUCUCCUUACCUCCGUAACUGUGACUCAUACCCCCGACUCCCGAGGAGUAAGAGACAGAAGAGACUACAAUGGCCACAGUCUACGGACACCCCCACUUCUUGCUGCUCUGUCCACUGAACUGGGGUCCUCUACGGUAACAACUCCUCCAUCCACCUCAUUGGAGCAAGAGAUCCACGGGACAGAACUACUGUUCAGCACAGCGUCUGUCCAAUAAAUAUUUACUGAAAUAAACACAGAAAGCUAAGAGCUUCUUGCGUUGACAGGACAGAGCAGAAGAGCUGGGGUGUGGCCUGACUUCUGAACCAGACCCUGCCUGGCUCAGGGAACCUUUCCUGCCUGCUGGGGUGGGGACUCCCUCCACAGGACUCAACUGACACUGUGAGUGUCUCUCACCCUCUUUAGCCUUAGGCUCACCUCCAAAUGCCCUUCACAGGACUCUGCCCAGAGAACAAAGGAGGCCCCAGUUGUUCCCGCAUUUCUCUGUAAGAGGAACAACUGUUGCCGGUCAGUCCUUUCUGAAUAAACCCAGCAACUGUUUGCAGCGUAGGGCAAUUUUCUCCCUCUGCCUUGUCCUUGUCCCAAAAAGGAGAAAAGGAGAUUAAAAAAGAAAGAUGGGGGAGAGCCCAUACCAAGCCCCACAAACUCCCUUACACCAGCUCUCAAAGUCUGUCUGGAAAUGUUACGAGCACAAGGACAGCCACCUGCUGUCCCUGACAACUGGGACAGCCGCAGUUAAGGGACAGGCUGUGAGAUCAGGACCCAAAAAAAGGAGGUGAGAAAGUGGAGGGUGGAGGGAGGCAAGGGGGGUUUGCAGAGGGACAACGGGAAAGAUCAAAGCCAAGAAGAUGGGGGGGGGGUGGUCAGCAUCUGGCCAGGGCCUGCAGGUACAGAGGACUGAGGCCCAAGGCAGAGACCCACACAGCUCAGAAGGCUCCUGGAGGCAAAGUGGAAUGGCAGGGGUGCUCUGUGGGAUACUGGAUGCAAUGGGGGUGGUGAAGAGGGAGAGAGGAGGACUGGAGAAGAGGGAGCGAGGUCUAUUAAAAUCCUCUCAGUGCAUAACACAAAAUGUCAGGGUUUAUAGCCUCAUUCUUGGCUUUGCCGGGACUGAGAACCCUGAACAGAAAUGUCACCGCUUGUCAUGUCUAAUCACCUGCUGUUUGUUAACACCUCCCCUGCAAGGAACCUGUCUCAAUCUGCCCCUGGGCCCCCAAGGGACCUGAAAACUGAAAACAUCCAGGCUCCUUCUCGGGGGCUCUUAGCCCUGCCUCGGGUUCCUGAGGAGCUCCCUUCCGCUGCCCUCUGCAGACUUCCAAGGAGUUCCAGGAUGACCCUUCUUAUCAAGAGGGUCAUGACUCCGCUGGCAAGAGAUGGCCGGCUUGGCUUGGAAGAGGCAGGCACUUGUAGCUUGGUCAUCCAUCACCUACCCUCCAGCCUACCCCACCUGCUGCCUCCACCCGAGGCUACAUAAAGUCAGCCAAGGAGGGCCUGAACUUCAUUGCUGUCAGCUUGACCGUCAAUGGCUGUAACACAUCUGUUUUAUCUAUCCUCAUCCGGAGCACACCAGCCGUGGUUCUGGCUUGGUUCUCUCUUGAAGCCCACCUUUCUGGUUCUGGUUGAAGCCCUACUGCUUCAUAACUUCUUCCUCUUGGGUGGGGUAGGUGUACAGUGCCGGGGUGGAUAUACGCUAUGAACCCUCCAGUCUAAGAAUACUGGGAUGCUCCCCGCCUCGUACUUCAUAACAUGGGUCAAAUCCGGCAAAACACUCGGGUUCUCUCAAACCCACACAAGAAAAGGGGGGCAAACCUAGUUCAGGGUUCAGGCUGAACCCCACUCCGUCAGACAGCUGUUUGCAAAGCAGCUACACCAUGAGUUCUAGCAGCAAGUGAGGGCGGUGGAUGGAUGGGAGCACUCCUGAACUGACUAAAGUGGUCUCCCAGUGGGCCACCGGAAGCAGCCCCACCAGCCUUCUCUGUCUUCACAGAAGUACACCGUACAAACAUGAGCCCGAAGACUUGUCUCCUAGGAGAACAAAGCCCAUCUAGAUGGCUUCCACAAGCACUUUGGUCUGGUCUGUUCCCCUCCUAUUUCACCAGGAAUGAGUCAGAGUGUCCCAUCCUGGCAGCCCUCCCUGCAGACAAGGGGAGAGUCCCUUUCUCAGGAACUGUGAAGGCCUGCAGCAAGGUAAGCUUUCCUGUAAACCUUAGCAGGCAUUUGCAUCAGCCACUACACCCGGGAGGAGUUCAAGGGGGACAAGUGGACUUAACUGGGAUCCGGAGCCCUUCAGGGACACAGGCUGAAUAACACAGUCAAUACCCAGGGAUAUAUGCUUUGUAAUUUCCCCUCGACAUUACCAUGCGGAUCAGUCCUCAGGGAAGCCUGCUUCCCCCCUGCCAAGGAAGCUCCACACUGUGUCUGUCUCCCGGCUUUUAGGAACAGUCUGACAGAGACGAUGGGUCCCCUGCUCCCGUACCUGUGUCUUCUGGGUUUUGUUGGUUUGGUUUUUAUUAUUAUUAUUAUUAUUAUUAUUAUUAUUAUUAUUAUUAUUAUUAUUAUUAUUUUCUUCAGUGCUAGAGAUGAAGCCACAUUUAGAACAUUUUCUUUGCAAGUGGUUCUACAGCUAAGCUAUGUCCCUCGCACCUGUGAGACAGGCUGACACACGUAGACCCUUGUCGCCUGCUAAGAGAGAUGUUUAGGUGUGACGUUCAUUCUCUGGGUCUCUCAGAAGGAAGGUGCUGGGUAGAAACUCAGAGGACGUUUGAGGUCAUGUGACCCAUAGCCUCUACAAGAUGUCCCAAUCUAUCUAUGACCCACAGGGAGAGCAGUCUCAGUGUUAAAAGGGCUACAAACCCUUUUCUACCCCCCUCCCUCCCAGGCCUCACCAGACUGGCCCUGUCACCAGCAAUCACCACAAACUCGUUUUCUUAUAAAGUUGGCAGGAAACAAUUCUUGAGCUCAAAACAACGUCAGGACAGGAACCCCAUGUGUCCUGCCUAGGUGGCAUCUUUAUACCUGCCUAAGGACUCACAUACCUAGCUGAAUGCAGUGGGCCACACAGCAAGUCUUGGUCAGGGCAGAGUGGGAUCAGCAGGAGUCAGUUGUAGGUCACCCCUCUUGCACAGGACAUAUUUAUCUCUGGAGGUCCCUAUCCUCUCUAGGACCCUGAGGGAGGACUGCAUUGAGCAGCCUCCUCUAUAGCCUCCGAUCAAGGCUGACCAACUGUCUUAGUUGAUGUAGAACCUAGGCUUCAUAGAAUGCUGGUCUUUCUAUUCCUUAGUAGGUGAUGACCUUACAUGGUCCCCGUGCACACACACCUAAGAAUAAGACCCCCCAGCUCUCCACUGGAGUUUUUGAAAGCUGUUCCUUAUCAUGGGAAGGUUCCGUAAACGCACGUAGAAUGUGUCUUCUACCUGAGCAGACCAUGGCGCAUCCCAAGAGGACAUCGGAAGUGAGACCCGGCCUGGGGUGUGGACACUCCCAGGUCUAAGAGCUACUGGGCCUGAGACCUCAGACUUAUCAGAUCGACAUGCCUCCUGGCCAGGCCGCUUGCUUUAAGCCUUUCAUUAAUUUUCUAUUAGAUGGGAAAUUACUCCUCACCCAGGAAUAAAAGUUUUCAUCUUAUUUUAAGUUGGAUUCUUAAAACAAUUACCAGGGCAUCUGGCGAUGACUUCACCACACUACCCAGGCCCUGCAGGGGAGAAGGGCAGCCCUGAGGCAGCACAGGCCCUGCUCCAGCCCCUAAAGGGAGCCGGAGGGGCUCGGAGCCCCAACCUCCGCUCUGGUCCCGAGAGAGCAGUGGACACACUAUAAUCUCCGAGCUCUGCCGUUUGUGGAGAGGCUCCCUCCUGUACCGCCUGCCCCCUGAACCCACUGGUGACAGUUGCCGAAAGCUUCAGCAGCUGGUGCCGCGGGAGCGUUUUCUAUUUUUAAUUGUUUGAUCGGAAUAUUAACUCAUCUAGGCCCGUUCCCAAAGCACAGUUCCCAGCCAAAGGGUUUCCCCAUUUCCCACACCUCCAUUCUCCCCCUCUCUAGUCAGAAUCAACGUUGAAAUUAAUAAUCGGAGACACACAGGCCUCUGUGCAUUUGCAAGAGAUCAGAGUAUAGGGAUUUUUUUAAAAAAGAAGGGCAGCCUCCUCCAUAAUGCAGAGAGGCCUUAGGGCUGGUCCUGGCUUUCCCCACUCUCUGAGCAUUGGCCCUGGGCUCUCGGGCAACAAUGGUUGCUCCAUCACAUGCAGGCACAGCCCCUCCAAUACCACCUUUACGCUUCCUGGCAUUUUCCCCUGGCCAGCACAGCUCUUUGCCCCAGGUCCAGACCAGCUGGGCAAAAGGCUGGCUUUUGUUGUAGCUUUCCAGCAUCCACGUAGAGGAAGGGAGCCCUUGGGGGACCUGGCAGGCAACUCUUCUGUGGUCAUCACUGGGGCUGGCCCAUCUACCAAGGGCAAGUGGCAUAACUGGCCUGAACAGUGUGGUACUGGAGUUUAGGAUAGGCCUCUGCUAAGUCUGUUGAGUGCAAACCUUGCCUUGUCACUCGACCCCUUUUUAGGAAAGGUCUCCAACCUAGCACCAGGGCUCCCAUCCUCCUGCCCCUCCUCUUUCCAUAGGCUCUUGGCACCCAGUGCUAGGCUCUUCCUUUUAAGGUCACAGGGCCGUCCACACCAGGAAUAUUUACUCACCAGACUGGCCCCGUUAGCGGCACUCACCACAAAUAUGCUUUCUGAUAAAGUUGGCAGAAAAAAAAA
rnacentral:sRNA from 1 species